CUCAGCCUCCCAGAGUGCUGGGAUUACAGCCACCACACCCAGCCUUUAAAUUGUUUAAUUUAAUUACAUUUGUUGACAUUUAUUUUUCUUCUGUUAUACACAGAAGCAAACAUACAAUACUUACUGUUCUGCUUCCUUUUGUUUUAAAUACCAUGUCUUAGAAAUUACUGUAUAUGAGAGUACAAAUAUAAUUCUCAUUCCUUUUAUUAGGUUCUGCUUGGUUCUGUUCUGCUCUUUUCUUUCCCUGUCCUUUCCCCCUUCCCCUUUCCUCUUUAAUUUGAUUUUUCAGUUUUCAGUUUAGCAUUGACUCAAGCAGGUGGAGGUGGCUUUGAUGAUAGAGCAGAGUGCGCACAAUUACGUGUGAGGACAUCAAGGCCCAGAGAGGAUCAGGGACUUUCUCAAAGCCACAGAACUAGCUAAUGACAGAGCCAUACUCGGAGUCCACUGUGAACCUUGGGUGUUUAAACUAGUUCAGAGGUUGUCAAACUUGAGCAUGCGUAAGAAUCACCUUGAGAACUGUUAAAAAUAAAGCUUCCUCCCAAGGGGUUUCAUAAUCUGCAAAAAAAAAAA